UGUAUAAUAUGUCCAGCUUAGGAAAAGUAAUUCAAAAUAAAUUCAUUUAGGUUUCUUGUUUUUCAAAGUUCAUAAUAUGUAAAGGAUUUCAGCUUAUUUUAAAAGUUACAGGUCACAAAAUACAAGGAGUAAUAUAAAAUUUAAAUGUGAAAAAAAUGUAGAAGUUGGUAUGUUUGACAGCUGUCACAGAAAACAAAAUUGCUACACAAAAGUAUAUAUUUAAAU